rnacentral:rRNA from 1 species
AUGUCGGAGAACUUGGAAGCUAAUGCUCGGAUUUGGUUGUUUCAGUUGAGUGAAUCCCUGGACCAUGCAAGCUUCACAUGGCUGGUAAUCACACUAUGGUCUAUAUGGUAUGCAAGGAGGAAGGCUAUAUAUGAAUCAAUCUUUCAAAGCCCGCAACAGACCACAUCUUUUGUGAACAAAUACAUUGAUGAGCUGGGCCAGUUGAAUGCCAGGAAGGAGCACCAGAUAACACAAACAGCAUCAUCUGCCCAGCAGAAGAGGUGGCUGCCACCUCCGAAUGGCAAGGUAAAGUUUAAUGUGGACGGAGCGGUGGCCAGGUCUUGGCGUGGAGGGGCUGCUGCAGCGAUAUGCCGGGAUCAGGACGGCCUAUACCUGGGAUCAUCGGCGGUCGUUUUUCAAGGAAUCACUGAUCUAGCGAUGCUUGAGACUUAUGCGUGCAGGGAAGCUUUGGCAUUAGCAGAAGAUCUUGCGACAACCAACAUAUGUGUGGCCUCUGAUUGCCAAGAAGAAAUAAUGCUUCGUUGUAAUAGUUUUACUUCUUACUCUUUUAUUCAUGAGCGUAGAAACCACAAUUAUGAGGCUCACAAUCUCGCCAAGUAUGCUUGUAGCCUAGGACUAGGUAGACAUGUCUGGUUGGGCAACCCUCAUGACCCAAAUCUUGUACCUAUGUCACUUGUUCUUGAAUGA